UAGCUAGUUGGGAGGGAACGGUUCACCAAGGCAACGAUGGUAGCCGACCUGAGAGGUGAUCGGCCACACUGGGACUGAGACACGGCCCAGAUUCCUACGGGAGGCAGCAGUAGGAAUCUUCCGCAAUGGACGAAAGUCUGACGGAGCAACGCCGCGUGAGUGAUGAAGGUUUUCGGAUCGUAAAGCUCUGUUGUUAGGGAAGAACAAGUGCCGUUCAAAUAGGGCGGCACCUUGACGGUACCUAACCAGAAAGCCACGGCUAACUACGUGCCAGCAGCCGCGGUAAUACGUAGGUGGCAAGCGUUGUCCGGAAUUAUUGGGCGUAAAGGGCUCGCAGGCGGUUUCUUAAGUCUGAUGUGAAAGCCCCCGGCUCAACCGGGGAGGGUCAUUGGAAACUGGGGAACUUGAGUGCAGAAGAGGAGAGUGGAAUUCCACGUGUAGCGGUGAAAUGCGUAGAGAUGUGGAGGAACACCAGUGGCGAAGGCGACUCUCUGGUCUGUAACUGACGCUGAGGAGCGAAAGCGUGGGGAGCGAACAGGAUUAGAUACCCUGGUAGUCCACGCCGUAAACGAUGAGUGCUAAGUGUUAGGGGGUUUCCGCCCCUUAGUGCUGCAGCUAACGCAUUAAGCACUCCGCCUGGGGAGUACGGUCGCAAGACUGAAACUCAAAGGAAUUGACGGGGGCCCGCACAAGCGGUGGAGCAUGUGGUUUAAUUCGAAGCAACGCGAAGAACCUUACCAGGUCUUGACAUCCUCUGACAAUCCUAGAGAUAGGACGUCCCCUUCGGGGGCAGAGUGACAGGUGGUGCAUGGUUGUCGUCAGCUCGUGUCGUGAGAUGUUGGGUUAAGUCCCGCAACGAGCGCAACCCUUGAUCUUAGUUGCCAGCAUUCAGUUGGGCACUCUAAGGUGACUGCCGGUGACAAACCGGAGGAAGGUGGGGAUGACGUCAAAUCAUCAUGCCCCUUAUGACCUGGGCUACACACGUGCUACAAUGGACAGAACAAAGGGCAGCGAAACCGCGAGGUUAAGCCAAUCCCACAAAUCUGUUCUCAGUUCGGAUCGCAGUCUGCAACUCGACUGCGUGAAGCUGGAAUCGCUAGUAAUCGCGGAUCAGCAUGCCGCGGUGAAUACGUUCCCGGGCCUUGUACACACCGCCCGUCACACCACGAGAGUUUGUAACACCCGAAGUCGGUGAGGUAACCUUUUAGGAGCCAGC
rnacentral:rRNA from 1 species